rnacentral:rRNA from 1 species
UACGAAGGGGCUAGCGUUGUUCGGAAUUACUGGGCGUAAAGCGCGCGCAGGCGGUCUUCCAAGUCAGUGGUGAAAGCCUGGAGCUCAACUCCAGAACUGCCAUUGAAACUGUAAGACUUGAGGAUGAGAGAGGUGAGUGGAAUUCCCAGUGUAGAGGUGAAAUUCGUAGAUAUUGGGAAGAACACCGGUGGCGAAGGCGGCUCACUGGCUCAUAUCUGACGCUCAGGCGCGACAGCGUGGGGAUCAAACAGG